rnacentral:rRNA from 1 species
UACGUAGGUGGCAAGCGUUGUCCGGAUUUACUGGGCGUAAAGAGCGCGCAGGCGGUCGUUCAAGUCGCGUGUGAAAGCCCCCGGCUCAACUGGGGAGGGUCACGCGAUACUGAUCGACUCGAAGGCAGGAGAGGGUAGUGGAAUUCCCGGUGUAGUGGUAGAAAUGCGUAGAUAUCGGGAGGAACACCGAGUGGCGAAGGCGACUACCUGGCCU